rnacentral:snoRNA from 1 species
AAACCGUGGUGUGGGCAACAUCUCAGCAAGUCCUUGUACUUCUCCAUGCAUCAUACAUGCUCUCAUCAUCAAACAAAAGAAGAAAUAUCAUUACGCAUCU